rnacentral:rRNA from 1 species
GACGUAGGGCGCGAGCGUUGUCCGGAUUUAGUUGGGCGUAAAGAGCUCGUAGGCGGCUUGUCGCGUCGGACUCGUGAAAUCCGCGGCUCAACUGCGGGUCUGCAGUCGAUACGGGCAGGCUAGAGUUCGGUAGGGGAGUGGGGAAUUCCUAGUGUAGCGGUGAAAUGCGCAGAUAUUAGGAGGAACACCGGUGGCGAAGGCGCCACUCUGGGCCGAAACUGGACGCUGAGGAGCGAAAAGCAUGGGUAGCAAA